GAACAAUGUUCUUAAAGUUUGACCUCAAAUCAGGUAGGAGUACCCGCUGAACUUAAGCAUAUCAAUAAGCGGAGGAAAAGAAACCAACCGGGAUUGCCUUAGUAACGGCGAGUGAAGCGGCAAAAGCUCAAAUUUGAAAUCUGGUACCUUUGGUGCCCGAGUUGUAAUUUGGAGAGGGCAACUUUGGGACCGUUCCUUGUCUAUGUUCCUUGGAACAGGACGUCAUAGAGGGUGAGAAUCCCGUGUGGCGAGGAGUGCGGUUCUAUGUAAAGUGCCUUCGAAGAGUCGAGUUGUUUGGGAAUGCAGCUCUAAGUGGGUGGUAAAUUCCAUCUAAAGCUAAAUAUUGGCGAGAGACCGAUAGCGAACAAGUACAGUGAUGGAAAGAUGAAAAGAACUUUGAAAAGAGAGUGAAAAAGUACGUGAAAUUGUUGAAAGGGAAGGGCAUUUGAUCAGACAUGGUGUUUUGCGCCCUCUGCUCCUUGUGGGUGGGGGAAUCUCGCAGUUCACUGGGCCAGCAUCAGUUUUGGUGGCAGGAUAAAUCCGUAGGAAUGUAACUUGCUUCGGGAAGUAUUAUAGCCUAUGGGAAUACUGCCAGCUGGGACUGAGGACUGCGACGUAAGUCAAGGAUGCUGGCAUAAUGGUUAUAUGCCGCCCGUCUUGAAACACGGACCAAGGAGUCUAACGUCUAUGCAAGUGUUUG
rnacentral:rRNA from 1 species